UUGACAUAUCAGUUCUUGAGAGUCUUCGUCGCAAGGACUUUUCUUGAGGCUGGGUCUUGAAUUUCCAAUUAGCUCUUCAUUUCUUGUUUUCUUUUGCUUUCAAGUCUGGGCAUCACUCUUUGGCCAUUUGUUGCUACGCCAUCAGUGUAGUCUUCUUUUUUUCCUUCCAUUGCUUCUUCUCUUAUCCGUGGGUUAAUUUCCCAUGCUUUCACAUAUUUUUGUGGGUUGGAGUUGAUAGAUUCAUUUGCAUUUUGUCUUGGUUUUCUUUCAAGCCUCUCUCUUUGGUUUUUUUUUUGCUUUCUUUUCUGUUCAUAUGUUUUUCUACCAUUGGUGCUCAUUUUUCUAGAGCUCCUCUUCCUUUAUUUUGAUUAGCUUGCUUUUGUUUUUUAUUUUUUUUCUGUUGAUUUCAUUGAGUUUAUCUUCCUGAUUUCUUAGUUUCUUUUCUUUUAAUGUAGGUUUGUGUUGUGUUAUCACUAUCUCUGCAGGAUCUUUUUUCGGUUGGUUUGCUGGAGCUUUUCAUUCCUUAGUGGAUGUUCUUCUUUCCCAGCGGUGUCAGCACUUCAGGUCAUUCAGCAGUCUACUAGCUUGGAUCUCGGGUGGGAGGAUAACUCACCGAUAAUAUGGGAACCUAUUGAUUUUCUUAGAGAGCUUUCAGACAUUAAUUUGAGGGAUGUGCACAACACAUCACUUGCUGGAGAGAUACAGAACUUGGAAAGCCUUCAACAUCUCGAGAAAUUGUAUGCACGCAUCACUUGCUGGCAACAAUUUUCAACUGAAGACAAAGUCCUGAGUAGCUUAUGUUGUUCCCAGUAAUGAUAUGGCAAAAAAGGAGGUCUAACUUCGAUAAUUUUGGUUAAUAUGCUGCCCUAUUAGAUGGCAGACUAACCAAUCCUGCUGGUGAACCUGUUAUUAAGAGUGUUAGGACUAAAGAAGAAGGGAGUAACAAUGGGGAGGCUCUUCUUUCUCCUCUACAAAUUUUAGCUACUGUUUCCAGUGAAAAAGCCAUAGGUAGUAUCCAGCUUUCCUAUGCAAAAAUCUGUUGAUUCUUUAGCGUUCAUGAGAUGUCAUGUGAUGGCGACAAAUUCUGCAAGUCCCAGUGGAGCUGUACGCUUGGUAUGUUUAUAUAUAUUUCAUAUAUUCUUGAGAAAUUCCUUGCUCUUAUAAGCU